rnacentral:rRNA from 1 species
CAGUUCGGAUUNAAGGCUGAAAUUCGCCUUCAUGAAGCCGGAAUUGCUAGUAAUGGCAGGUCAGCAUACUGCCGUGAAUACGUUCCCGGGCCCUUGUACACACCGCCCGUCACACCAUGAGAGUUGGGAAUACCCGAAGCCUGUGAGCUAACGAAAGAGGCAGCAGUCGAAGGUAGAAUCAAUGAUUGGGGUGAAGUCGUAACAAGGUACC